rnacentral:rRNA from 1 species
CAUUUGAUCUCAAAUCAGGUAGGACUACCCACUGAA